rnacentral:misc_RNA from 1 species
UCCAGGCUUUCCAAUACUACUUAUAUGCAUUAGUAAUAACAAUAUUUAGAGACUCAGUUUUUUUUCUUUUUUAAUAUCAAAAACAUUUCCUUUUUCUUUUUUUUUAGCUAAAUUGCCCAAAUUUCAUUAUAUAUGUACGUUUCACACGAACAGAACGAAAUGGCCCUCCUACAAAACAGGAACCGAACUGUACUCACUGUAAAAGUCACCGUCGUCAGAAGCUGUCAAUAACCGUUGACUAAACUCUUCUUG